AAACUUUUUUAACUAUCGUUUUCGUCUGAGCAUGACAAGCAAAUCAGUUAAAACUUUCAACAACGGAUCUCUUGGUUCCGGCAUCGAUGAAGAACGCAGCGAAAUGCGAUAAGUAAUGUGAAUUGCAGAAUUCCGUGAAUCAUCGAAUCUUUGAACG
rnacentral:rRNA from 1 species